GAUGAAGAACGUAGCGAAAUGCGAUACGUAAUGUGAAUUGCAGAAUUCAGUGAAUCAUCGAAUCUUUGAACGCAUAUUGCGCUCUCUGGUAUUCCGGAGAGCAUGCUUGUUUGAGUAUCAGUAAACACCUCAACUCCCUUUUCUUUUUUGAAAUGGGAGCUGGACUUGAGUGAUCCCAACGCUUUUCUCACCGGAAAGUGGCGGGUUACUUGAAAUGCAGGUGCAGCUGGACUUUUCUCUGAGCUAUAAGCAUAUCUAUUUAGUCUGCCUAAAAACAGAUUAUUACCUUUGCUGCAGCUAACAUAAAGGAGAUUAGUUCUUGUGCUGACUGAUGCAGGAUUCACAGAGACAGCUUCGGCUGACUUUGUAAACUCGAUCUCAAAUCAAGUAAGACUACCCGCUGAACUUAAGCAUAUCAAUAAGCGGAGGA
rnacentral:misc_RNA from 1 species